UUUACAAACACAUCCACAGCCGCUACAUUACUCGUGGAGCGGUGCUCCAGUCUGGAACUCUGGUCCAAGGCGCUUGACUUAGGAUAACAGAACCAUUUUAUAGCGUUAUUAUUUUUGAAUCAACACUUUCAGAGGUGUAGCCUACCCAGCCUGUAAAAGUAGCGAUGGACAUUCGGCGGGUUAGACUAUUUAAAACACAGUGCUUAUGCGUUAGUUUAUUACAUGUAGAGUGAACCUCUAUUUUUCGAGUUUUCUUUUGUUUUUAAUGUAACCGUUACUUUUUCACUUUUAACUUUUUUUUCAAGAGGACAUCAUUUGACUCUGGGUUGAGAGCGGAGGACUACACAAGGCAUCACUUCGUCCACUUUUUUUGUUUAUUUAUUUUUUUCACCACGGGACCAUCAAGGGAGCAAUUCAGUGUUUUCUUCCGCUUAUUUAUAAGGCACGUCUGAAGUCUAACUUUUGUUUUUUUAAAGCGUCAGGCGGGAGUGUGCCACUCUCUCAGCGCACACAUAACAUCCGCUUGUAGCAACAUCUUUCACUGCCUUAUUUUGGACUCAGAGUAAUUUGAAGAAUCCAUACAAUCCAAACGUCAUACCAAAUCGCAUUCCUGUUGCUUUAGCCAAAACACAAGCAGCGUGUUUGCACGCCGUGUGAUCACGCCAGGCUUCAAGCAUAGGUUGUAACCUGUUUGUGGAAUCUCUCAACUUUCAGUUUCGUGAUUUUUAACCCCAUUGGAACUGUGCGUAAAUCAAAAUGCCACAGUUAGCCGGUGGAGGAGGCGGCGGGGACCCGGAGCUCUGCGCCACCGACGAAAUGAUUCCCUUCAAAGAUGAAGGGGACCCACAUAAAGAACAAAUAUUCGCAGAGAUUAAUCACUCGGAGGAAGAAGGGGACUUGGCAGAAAUUAAGUCCUCUUUAGUCAACGAGACAGAGACAAGCCCAAACAGUAACAGUCAUGAUGGAUCAAGGACCCAGAUCCCUCAAGACUCAUACCAUGAAAAGCACAGAGAUCACCCAGAUGAUGGCAAACUCCAAGACCUGUACAACAAAGGGCAUCCAUACUCUGGCUAUCCAGGCUACAUAAUGAUGAACAUGAACAAUGACUCGUACAUGAACAACGGCUCUCUCUCACCACCCAUGCCAAGAACGUCAAACAAGGUGCCAGUGGUGCAGCCGUCCCAUGCAGUUCAUCCCCUCACUCCGUUGAUCACAUACAGCGAUGAGCACUUCGCCCCUGGGCCGCACUCUGGCCACCAUCCCCAGGACAUGAAUGGCAAGCAAGGUAUGCAGCGGCAUCAUCAAGACAUUUCCAAUUUCUAUCCCCUGUCCCCAGGAGGAGUGGGACAGAUCACUCCCCCCCUUGGAUGGUUUUCUCAUCACAUGGUUCCAGGCCCCCCUGGCCCUCACGCCACAGGCAUCCCACACCCUGCUAUCGUUAACCCACAGGUCAAGCACGAACCCCCACACGAGACGGACCUGAUGCACAUGAAACCUCACCACGAACAGAGAGAGAAGCAAGAGCCCAAAAAACCUCACAUCAAGAAACCUCUAAAUGCUUUCAUGCUGUAUAUGAAAGAGAUGCGGGCCAACGUGGUGGCCGAGUGCACGCUGAAGGAGAGUGCUGCCAUCAACCAGAUUCUGGGGAGGAGGUGGCAUGCUUUAUCUCGGGAAGAGCAAGCUAAGUAUUAUGAAUUAGCCCGCAAGGAACGGCAGCUCCACAUGCAGCUUUACCCAGGCUGGUCCGCCCGAGACAAUUAUGGAAAGAAGAAGAAGCGGAAGCGGGAGAAGAUGCAGGAACAGGCCACCGUACGGCCCUCGGAGGACUUUUACGGCCCUCGGAUGACUUUGCAGUGGCCCUUCGAAUGAAAAAGGUUCCCCACCCCUGCUUUAAAGGUACAGGCCAGAGAAUGAAAACGGCGUACAUCUGAGCUAUGGAGGGAAACGGAGUACGUUCUCUACAUGUAAGGCGAAGGCUGCAGCUACAGGCCCCCUGUUAGAGAUGGAGGCCUGCUAAAUUCCUUGACCUUUCCUCUCCCUCCUGAAGUGUCUGCCAGAGGAACCCAGUACCAGACCACACUCCUCCUCUACCCUCCUGCAGUCACUGCUGUAGAGACACUGAACUAAGAAGAGACAAUCAAUCCUUUUCAAAGACCUGAACCCCUCGUGCAAAGACAGGCCCUCAAUCAAGUGAGCAGAACACAGAGGCAGCGUCUGUUCCCGUUUCUUUUCUUUCCUUUCCUCUUUGACUUGUCAUCAAAGCCCUAGGCAUUGCACUGAAUACAGCCAGCAAGUUUUCAUGCCUGCACCUCUCCACCCCUGGCCUCACCCCAUAUUUGAACACAUCCAUUUGUGUACCCUCACAAAAAACAGAGGCAAAACCACCCGGCUGCCCCUGCGCCCACCCUGGAGCAGACCUCACUGCCAUCUAGGUGGCUGUUUCUUCUCAUGUUAUUAAGUUAUUUUGCACCUUUGUUCCUGUCAGCACAAUUCAGCAAGUUCAUCCUGGCCACCUUUUGGUUCUCUCCCCAUGGCCCACGUCCAUUCCAGACGCACUGCCAUUGUGGAGGCUCCAGCACCUCUUAGCACCCUGCUGUCACAAGGAACACUUACAGGACUAUGACGACAUCCUUUACCAACUCCAUUCGGGUUUUCUGACCAGGGGGUGCACAAAGGAUCAACAUUUCACUCUAUUCACAUCUGAUGUUCAAAUUAAUUUUGAAUGCUUUGUAUUUUGUAUUUUUUUUACUUUUCAUUUCUUGGUGUAUAUUUCAAGUGAAAUAUUUUUUCUGUUUUUGUUUGU